rnacentral:tRNA from 1 species
GGGGAUGUAGCUCAGUUGGGAGAGCGCUUGAAUGGCAUUCAAGAGGCCAGGAGUUCAAUUCUCCUCAUCUCCACCA